UACAGAGGGUGCGAGCGUUGUCCGGAAUCACUGGGCGUAAAGGGCGCGUAGGCGGCUUGAUAAGCGUGCGGUGAAAGCCCGGGGCUCAACCCCGGGUCGGCCGUGCGAACUGUCGGGCUGGAGCACUGUAGAGGCAGGUGGAAUUCCGGGUGUAGCGGUGGAAUGCGUAGAGAUCCGGAAGAACACCGGUGGCGAAGGCGGCCUGCUGGGCAGUGGCUGACGCUGAGGCGCGACAGCGUGGGGAGCAAACAGG
rnacentral:rRNA from 1 species